UGAGGAAUAUUGGUCAAUGGGCGCAAGCCUGAACCAGCCAUCCCGCGUGAAGGAAGAAGGCGCUAUGCGUUGUAAACUUCCUUUCCAGAGGGAGAAUUUUUCCGUCGUGACGGGAAUUGACGGUACUCUGGGAAUAAGCAUCGGCUAACUCCGUGCCAGCAGCCGCGGUAAUACGGAGGAUGCGAGCGUUAUCCGGAUUUAUUGGGUUUAAAGGGUGCGUAGGCGGAUCAAUAAGUCAGUGGUGAAAUUCUGCAGCUUAACUGUAGACUUGCCAUUGAUACUGUUGGUCUUGAGUAUGGUCAAGGUAGGCGGAAUGUGUAAUGUAGCGGUGAAAUGCUUAGAUAUUACACAGAACACCGAUUGCGAAGGCAGCUUGCUGGGCCAAUACUGACGCUGAUGCACGAAAGCGUGGGGAUCGAACAG
rnacentral:rRNA from 1 species